GAUGAACGCUGGCGGCGUGCUUAACACAUGCAAGUCGAACGAAGACAUCUGAGUGCUUGCACUUGGAUGGACUGAGUGGCGGACGGGUGAGUAACGCGUGGGUAACCUGCCUUAUACAGGGGGAUAACAGUUGGAAACGACUGCUAAUACCGCAUAAGCGCACGGUUCCGCAUGGAACAGUGUGAAAAACUCCGGUGGUGUGAGAUGGACCCGCGUCUGAUUAGCCAGUUGGCGGGGUAACGGCCCACCAAAGCGACGAUCAGUAGCCGGCCUGAGAGGGUGAACGGCCACAUUGGGACUGAGACACGGCCCAAACUCCUACGGGAGGCAGCAGUGGGGAAUAUUGCACAAUGGGGGAAACCCUGAUGCAGCGACGCCGCGUGAGUGAAGAAGUAUUUCGGUAUGUAAAGCUCUAUCAGCAGGGAAGAAAGUGACGGUACCUGAAUAAGAAGCCCCGGCUAACUACGUG
rnacentral:rRNA from 1 species